GGUAACGGGCGCGCCGGCGUCUGCGCCCCGGGGGGAAGAUGCGGCCUGCGGCGCCCGCCGCCUCUCCCCCGGCCUCAUGGCGGGCCCGGGGCCACUGAGGAGGAAGGUCCCGGCCGCCGGACUGCGGGGCAGCGGGCACCAGUGAAAUCCCAUUCUCUGGCUGGAGACACAGAUGGCCUCAAAUGAGAGAGAUGCUAUAUCGUGGUACCAAAAGAAGAUUGGAGCAUAUGAUCAGCAGAUAUGGGAAAAGUCAAUCGAACAGACUCAGAUUAAGGCUAAGAAAGCUGUCUCCUCAUCUACAAUGGGCUUCAAAAACAAACCAAAAAAGAUGGGUCACAUAAAACCAGACUUGAUUGACGUGGACUUAAUCAGAGGCUCAACAUUUGCCAAAGCCAAACCUGAAAUUCCAUGGACAUCUCUGACUCGAAAGGGGCUUGUUCGAGUUGUCUUUUUCCCGUUGUUCAGCAAUUGGUGGAUUCAGGUUACCUCUUUAAGAAUCUUUGUUUGGCUGCUACUGCUUUACCUCAUGCAAGUUAUAGCACUCGUGUUAUAUUUUAUGAUGCCUAUUGUGAAUGUAAGCGAAGUACUUGGACCCUUGUGCCUUAUGUUACUCAUGGGAACUGUCCACUGUCAAAUUGUGUCUACUCAGAUAACAAGGCCAUCGGGAAACAAUGGAAAUCGGAGAAGAAGAAAAUUACGAAAAACUGUAAAUGGUGACGGGAGCCGAGAAAAUGGAAAUAACUCCUCUGAUAAAGUCAGAGGAGUAGAAACUUUGGAAUCUAUACCCUUUAUUGGUGGAUUUUGGGACAGUCUCUUUGGCAACAGGAUUAAAAGAGUGAAAUUAAUAUGUAACAAAGGAACUGAAACUGAUAAUGACCCAAGUUGUCUGCAUCCUAUCAUUAAGAAGAGACAAUGUCGACCAGAGAUUAGAAUGUGGCAAACAAAAGAGAAAGCAAAAUUUUCAGAUGGAGAAAAGUGCCAUAGGGAGGCUUUUAGGCAUCUGGGUAAUGGGAUUUCAGAUGAUCUGUCAAGCGAGGAGGACGGUGAAGCCCGGACACAGAUGAUGAUGUUGCGCAGGAGUGUGGAAGGGGCCUCAAGUGACAACGGCUGUGAAGUUAAGAAUAGAAAGUCAAUACUUUCUAGGCACCUAAACACUCAGGUAAAGAAAACCACCACCAAGUGGUGUCACAUUGCACGGGAUUCAGAUAGUCUGGCUGAAUCAGAGUUUGAAUCGGCGGCCUUCAGUCAGGGCUCUAGGUCUGGCAUGAGUGGUGGCUCUCGAAGCCUGACCAUGUCCAGAAGAGACUCAGAAAGCACCCGCCAUGACUCAGAGACCGAGGAUAUGCUAUGGGACGACCUGCUGCAUGGCCCAGAGUGCCGGUCAUCUGUCACCAGUGACAGUGAGGGGGCCCAUGUGAACACCCUCCAUUCAGGGACCAAACGUGAUCCCAAAGAAGAUGUUUUUCAGCAGAACCACUUAUUCUGGCUUCAGAACUCAAGUCCUGCCUCUGACCGAGUUAGUGCAAUAAUCUGGGAAGGGAAUGAGUGCAAAAAGAUGGAUAUGUCUGUGUUGGAAAUAAGUGGCAUCAUCAUGAGCAGGGUUAAUGCGUACCAGCAAGGAGUAGGUUAUCAGAUGCUGGGAAAUGUCGUCACCAUUGGAUUAGCAUUUUUCCCUUUUUUACAUCGACUUUUCCGUGAGAAGAGUUUUGACCAGCUAAAGUCUAUUUCAGCUGAGGAGAUCAUGACUCUCUUUUGUGGGGCACCACCUGUUACACCUAUUAUUAUUUUGUCUAUGAUUAAUUUUUUUGAACGAUUGUGUCUUACUUGGAUUUUUUUUUUCAUGAUGUGUGUGGCAGAAAGAACAUAUAAACAGAGAUUUUUAUUUGCAAAACUCUUCAGCCAUAUUACUUCUGCCAGGAAGGCUAGGAAAUAUGAAAUACCUCAUUUCAGACUUAAAAAGGUGGAGAACAUUAAGAUAUGGUUAUCACUGCGCUCCUUUCUCAAGAGACGGGGUCCACAGCGCUCAGUUGAUGUCGUCGUAUCUUCAGUCUUCUUACUGACACUUUCCAUUGCUUUCAUUUGUUGUGCCCAGGUUCUGCAAGGGCAUAAAACUUUCCUGAAUGAUGCUUAUAAUUGGGAGUUUUUGAUCUGGGAAACAGCUUUACUACUUUUCUUACUGCGUCUGGCCUCAUUGGGGUCUGAAACCAAUAAGAAAUACAGCAAUGUUUCAAUAUUACUUACGGAACAGAUUAAUUUAUAUCUUAAGAUGGAAAAAAAGCCUAAUAAGAAAGAACAGCUCACUCUAGUAAAUAAUGUAUUAAAGCUGUCCACCAAGUUAUUGAAAGAGCUGGACACACCGUUUAGACUCUAUGGACUGACAAUGAAUCCCUUAAUCUACAAUAUCACACGAGUAGUUAUCCUUUCUGCUGUCUCAGGUGUUAUAAGUGAUCUUCUAGGAUUUAAUAUAAGACUGUGGAAAAUUAAGUCAUAAGCUGAGUCAUGUGCCUGGACUCUCCCCUUGUUGGCACCGGUACUUACCCAUUAAGGAAGGAGACGGCUGCAGAAACCCUGAGAUACCUACCUGCUUGUUCACACACAGAGUUUUGGAAGAUUGUGUGCUUUGGGGCUCCUGGGUGCUGUCUCAGUCGGUUAAGUGUCCAACUUCACCUCAGUUCCUGGUGCCCAUUUGAAUAAUGAAGUUUGAAUUUCACAAAUGUGCAGUAAUUCUAUACCUUUCCUGCAGCAUGCCUGAGCUUAUAAACUGUGAUAAGGUAUUACUCAAGUAGUGAUGUUUUGGAGUUUCAUUUUUAAACCGGGCCUGGGCCAUCACCAGUAGCUGUUAGAAGAGGCAACCGCCAUCUUUAAUGACGAGCUAACAAUCCCUUCUUCUGCAAGGACUCAAAUAUUUCUCUCUGUAAACAUGCAGCAUGCUAUUGAGGAUAUCAACUUCCAAGCCAAACCUAGUUUUUUCAUUACUGUGGAAUUAUCUGAGUGAGACGGAUACAACACACGUGAUACAGUAGAUAACUUGGCACAGAUAUAAAGUGAGUUGUGACCACACUGUGUGCACAUCAGCAUGGACACUCACGGCGACGGGCCGGGGCACCCGAGCCACGCAUGUCGGAUGAGCGCGCGGGAGGGCAGCCAGCCGGGGGACGGUUGGUUCUUAGCAGUCCUGAAGGCCCUUCAUGCAGCCUGGGUAACUUGAUGUUCAAAGUAAAAUGUGUGUGUUUCAGAAUUUCUGGAAAAAAAAAAUGACUUUUGUUUUUGAAAAAUGCUGCUUUUUAGAAAGGAAAAAUUACGACUUGUUUUUCUUUGUUUUAUACCAAAGGUCACAGCCGUUUCUCGGCCACACCAGUAGUGCCUGUGGCUUUAUUUGCACUUGGCACCUUCCAGGGCCCUGGAGUGAUUGGUGUUUUCCUAACGGGAGAAGCGCUCUCAGGUUGGAACCCUCCACCCUCUCUGUUUUUGUCGGCUGCCUCUUGUUCUUUUCCUCGGGGGUCUUCCAUUUUGUUUAAAACCAUCCUUUCUUCAGGGUCCUGCUUCAGCUUUUCUGAUUUUUUGACAUUUUCUCCUGUUUUCUCCUUGCUAGAACUUGUCUCUCCCACGGUGGCCUUCUUUCCUUCUUCCUGCUCAGACUCUGGCCUACUAGCAGUGUUACUAGUCUUUUUGGGCGGAAGAGACUUUUCAUCCGUUCUCUUGCUUCUUUUCUCUGGGGACCUUGUCCUGUUUUUCCCAGACUGGCUCUGCUUUGUGUCUUUCCUGGCAGCACCUGAUCCUUCCCUGCCGUCCGAGAUCUGCUCAGCACCGUCCCUAGCGCGGCCCCCUCCUCUCUGACUCUCAGACUCUAGUCCUCUGGCUUCAGUAUUUGGUCGGCCUUUGCUGCCUUCAGUCUUUUGCUGCUUCUUUGGGCUUGAAGAUCGUCCUCUGCUUUUUCCACAGUGAGCCUGCCCAGAACCUGCCCUAGUGCCGGUCUGACCACUUUUACUGUCCCCUCUCCUGGGGCUGAGGGACCGGUCUCUGGGUCUUCUCUUGGGGUCAGUGGUGGGAAGACUGGGAAUCUUGUCCGAACGUUCUUCUGCAUGUCGGCUGGCCGGCUUCCUGGGACUAGCAGAUCUACCUCUUUGUGUAACGCCAGUUUCUACUUUUAAGAGAUUUUUCUUGUCACCAUGCCCAUGACUGCCGGGUGGAUCCCUUUUAUUCACAUUUUUCUGGAGAAAAGAGUGCUGCUUUUUAUCAGGCUGAUUUUCAUUUAAAGUGCUUUUCUUUUCAGGCACACCGCCCUUUAAUUCCUCUGUCUUUUCACAUAUCUGAGCUCUCAUUAAAGAUUCUUCAGUUACUGGCAUGGGGGACCCCUCAAAUACGGAAGCAGAAUGUGACGCUGGGGGAAAUGGUGACUGCUCAUCAUAAAUCACAUUUGAAGACGAAGGAUUAUUAUUAAUAUCCCAAUCACCUACAAAAAGUGAUUUGAGGGGAACAUUAUUAAAUUUUAGAAUUACAACAAAUAGGGACAGCAAGUUUUGAACUUUGACAGCCAUUCGAAUUGUACUGACUGCUUAAAUAGCCUGAGUAUGAAUAUUUCAUAAAUAAAAUUUAUGUAUGUUACCAUCUCUAUAAAGUUAGAUUACAUAGACAGCUGUACUUGUGCACGAAGGGUGGGUUGUUUAAAUGUACCCAAAAUAACAGUAGUCAUUUUUCCAGUUUAUAAUUACAUAAUAUAUAUAAAGUCUUCCUAAGUAGUAAAGCCCAAUAAAAAACUUAGAAGAAAUAAAUAAUAAAAUUGGACCGAAUUACUUGGUCCAAGAAGCUUACUAAUUUGGCUGUCAUCAAAGGAUAGAGCUUAUGGAUAUGCCAAAAUCACUAAUCAAGGACACCCGACUGAGGUAACCGGAAUGAGGUUCGUGGGCAUUUACAAAUAAUUUUCUUGCAUUAAGCUGUCAAAUUUAAUGUCAAAAGGAAACUGAAAAGUGCAGAAGAUAGAAAGAGAUGUAUUUAAUAGCAUCAUUUUUAAUUAAAAAGAAAAAAAAAGAAGGAAGUGAUUUACAAGACAUGCAAAUUUACCAAGUCUUUUUAAGGAAAGACCAAGAAAAGCCCUGAAAGCCUUAAUGUUGCUCAGGUUUCACGUAGGAGCACAGACCGGAAGGAGCCAAACCUGAAGAAGGAAGAGAAAAGGCCUAGGACUAUGUAAAAAAAAAAAAAAAAUCACAGCGCAGUUAGCAAAGAUGUCAUUGGGAACGUAUGGUUUACAAGCAGAUGGUGGAAGGUAAUAACAGAGAAUUAUAGGCUGGAAGGGGACCGCAGGAGGUCACGUCUAUACUUGUCCCUCAGAAGCUCUACGGGGUUGGGCGGGGGUGCAGAAACUAGAAGGGACAAGUCCUGGUGGUGUGGUACUCUAUCUAGGCUAGUGCUCUCAGUUAAAACAUGAUGUUCAAAUCCUGUGGUAUUUCAAAAACCUACAACGAAACCAAGGAACCUGAAGCCCAGUGCAGGAGAACAGACAGUCCCAUCCACCUCCCUGACGCCAGGUAGGGUCAGAGCAGCUUGUUCUCCACAAGGGACCAGAGAAGCCUAAAGUCCUUCUACUCUUCAUUGAGAGAAACUUGUCUUCCAUUAAGGGAGUAGAUCUUACAAUGAGGAAGUAAGUGGCAUUUGAAGAGAUUUCAGACGUUUUUCAUGACAUUUAAGUCACUUGCCUCUGACGUCCUUGUUUUUUUUUUUACAAGCACGUUUCUCUAUAAAAGCAACUUACAAGUUUUCUAUUGAAAUUGCUUAACAUAUUCCAACCCAACACAAAUCACGCCUGAAGCCACUUACUUGGUAAUAUUCUAAUAACCCUGCUGUGUAAGUAGCUUUCGAUGGUUCUGGUGUUUACCUUUGAACUAGCCAGCAAAAUAUCUAGCCCCUUCAAACAGACAUUCUUUUUCUGUCGUCGCCCCCUCCAUAACUUUUCAGCUCCAGGUGAGAGCCUUUCCUUACCGUGGUCAGGUAUCAGGCCAGUCCCUGGCCUCAAAAGAAGAAGAACUUUAUUCCCACCAGCCUGAAUGAGUUCAAUCGCUCGAGUAUGCGUGAUACCUUGUGUAGGUUCCCCAUUGAUUUCAACGAUCUGGUCACCAACCUAGAGAGGGAACAUUCACAGGAACAACAUGAAACUAUGCAUCCUCCUUCGAUUCUGCUCUGUCCACUCGACAGCCGCUCAACCUUACUGACUCAUUUGCAAACCAUCUAACUUGUACACGGUGCUGUGUCAUUGCUAAAGCUGAUGGGCGGAGGGAUGACCGCAGUGGGAAGAGACAGCAUCCAGCUUUAUUUGCUCUGUAGAAAUCCUACAGGAGAAAGUCGCAUGUGAGGAGGAAACAGGAUCCGGGCACCUUGAAAUCACAAAUGAGAUCUGGAGUUUUCAACCAAAAGAGAAGUGCCAGAAGAGGUGAGGUCUCUAUGAUCCACAUGAUGCCACGGGGCUGGGUCUGAAUGGCCCACUAGGAAGAGUACUUUCCAAGAGGAGUUGAAUCUGGAAUUUAUUUUCUAAAACCCGGGCUGGUGGCUCAUCGUGGAAGCCUUUCCUGGCCUCCACGGAGAACUGCUCCCUCCCCUUCAUGUUGCCAGCACAGCCUGUAGAUGUAUGAGGCACUAGAUGAAUGAAAUGUUCGGAGAUAAAAACUUCAGCUUGGAGAAUAUAUCCAUAUGAAUACUGAUUUAAAACCGGUAAUGGGCGUAUGCUCGUGACUUCAGUGUAAAAUAAUUUCCCUAGGUAACAUAAAACCAGGGACCAGAAUGAGACGCCUCAGUACCUCUGCUAUUUACUAGAAAUGCUGUCUAGGUAUUUCAAAAGAAAAGGGGGAAACAUGGAUACGUCAAGUGUCACUUUUGCAAAAGGACCUGAUAAAAGAUAACGAUGGUAGUGAUUUUAAAAUACAUUUCAGUAGUGCCCGGGUGGCUUAGUCAAGUGUCUGACUCCUGAUUUCAGCUCAUAGUUGGUAAGAUCGAGCCCCAAGUUGGGCUCUGUGCUGACAGCAUGGAACCUGCUUGGGAUUUUCUCACUCUGCCCCUCCCCAACUCAUGUGCACGUGCUCUCUCUCAAAAUAAAUAAAAAAAUGUUUCAAGGUGACAAGCAGAGGCUUGUUUGGCUUUAAAAGAGAUAAACCGAGGGGUGCCUGGGUGACUCAGUCGGUUAAGUGUCCAAUUUCAGUUCAGGUCAUGAUCUCGUGGUUUGUGAGUUCGAGCCCCACAUCAGGCUCCAUAUUGACAGCUCAGAGCCUGGAGCCUGCUUCGCAUUCUGUGUCUCCCUCUCUCUCUCUCUGCCCCUCCCCUACCCCGACCCUGUCUCUCUCUCAAAAAUAGACAUUAAAAAAAAGCGAACAAUGGAAAACUACUGACAUUCCAAACAGCUCAAAAAUUUGUAAGAGCUUACGAAAACAAUCCAGAAAUAACAGAAGGUGACUCAAUUAUUUAACAGAAGCUGGUAGGAAAGUCUGUAGCCACAGAUACAGCGAAGCCCAGUGGCCAGGAAGCAGGGCCUUGGAGUCAUAAUGUCUGUGGUUCACCCCUAGCUCCACCUCCAGCCGGCAGAGGGUCUCAUUUUCCUCUCUGUGAAAUGGGGACAAUAUUAGUACCCACCUCCUGGGGUCCGGGCGGGGAUUUAAUGAGAUAAAACCUGGUGACACACCAAACACAAGCAGAUGUUCCUUUUCAAGUUAUCUACUUCCUGGUUUUCCCCCAAAGGACUUCAAGUGCAUCAGGAGGAAGAUUUACCCGAGCCCGUCCCCCACUGUAUAUACCGCAAAACAUGUCAACUAUGAAAAAGAAAACAGAUUAAAAGGUUUUGUUGCAUAUUUAUGAAAAAAAAAAAAGGAAUCUCUUGAAUAAUUGGAGGGUAUGACAAGAUAAGUGGACUUAACAUAGGAGAAAAAACUUAAAAAAAAAACUAACCAAAAUAAGAUAAUAAACAUAAUAGGAUGGAAAAAAGUAAUAAACAGAAUAAAAAUACUUACAUCCAGAAUAUGUGAGAUAAAAGCUAAUACCCGGAUUUCCCUUAAUAGUAAGUGAUUGAAGAAAAAUAAUUUGUAUGAGGAAAUAAAUACAAAUGACAAGUGACAAAUCAGUCCUGCUGAUUAAUGAGACAAAUGGAAAUUAAGGUAGACGGUAUUUGGAGCGUGCUUUGGGCGUAUCUUGUAAAACAUGACUGAGGUUUCCCUUAAUUGCAGUCACAUUCUUUGGCUUAACUUCAGUGUCCUAAGCUGCAUAUUUCUGAUUCUUUCGGUACAACGAAUAAAUUGCAAUAAAGCUUGUAAUUGAACAGA